rnacentral:rRNA from 1 species
UACAGAGGUCUCAAGCGUUGUUCGGAUUCAUUGGGCGUAAAGGGUGCGUAGGUGGCGCUGUAAGUCGGGUGUGAAAUUUCGGAGCUUAACUCCGAACUGCAUUCGAUACUGCGGUGCUUGAGGACUGGAGAGGAGACUGGAAUUCAUGGUGUAGCAGUGAAAUGCGUAGAGAUCAUGAGGAAGACCAGUGGCGAAGGCGGGUCUCUGGACAGUUCCUGACACUGAGGCACGAAGGCCAGGGGAGCAAACGGG